ensembl:snRNA LOC120097634 U4 spliceosomal RNA
AGCUUUGCGCAGUGGCAGUAUCGUAGCCAAUGAGGUUUAUCCGAGGCGCGAUUAUUGCUAAUUGAAAACUUUUCCCAAGGGGGGAAGGUGUAGCUUCAUGUUUGAACAGCACAGUUACUAUUACAUUCCACUAAAGUGU